GGUACCCUGAGCCACCAGUCUGCAGAGCCACCCUGCCGUCCAUUCGAAGGUCAUUUCCCUGUUACCACAGCCAGAAGAGACCCAGAACUCUGGAAAAGUAAGACCCUGACUUUCCGUAUGGAAUGAACUCACCAGGCAGCGGCAGCCCUGAGGUGGGAGCUGGCUUGCUGCUCUCAGCAUAAAGGACUGCUGGAGACCCUGGAGAGAGGCCACCUUGAUCUCCCCCGAGACUGGAGAGUCUCGCCGGAAUCCUUACCUGCGAACUCUCAGCUAAGUUAAAUCCAGCAGCCAUGGCCAGCGCCCAGGUUCCUUUCUCCUUUCCUCUGGCCCACUUCCUCAUCUUUGUCUUCGUGACUUCCACCAUCAUCCACCUCC
rnacentral:lncRNA from 1 species